GACGAACGCUGGCGGCGUGCUUAACACAUGCAAGUCGAACGGAAAGGCCCUGCUUUUGUGGGGUGCUCGAGUGGCGAACGGGUGAGUAACACGUGAGUAACCUGCCCUUGACUUUGGGAUAACUUCAGGAAACUGGGGCUAAUACCGGAUAGGAGCUCCUGCUGCAUGGUGGGGGUUGGAAAGUUUCGGCGGUUGGGGAUGGACUCGCGGCUUAUCAGCUUGUUGGUGGGGUAGUGGCUUACCAAGGCUUUGACGGGUAGCCGGCCUGAGAGGGUGACCGGGCACAGUGGGACUGAGAUACGGCCCAGACUCCGACGGGAGGCAGCAGUGGGGAAUAGUGCACAAUGGGCGGAAGCCUGAUGCAGCAACGCCGCGUGCGGGAUGACGGCCUUCGGGUUGGAAACCGCUUUCGCCUGUGACGAAGCGGGAGUGACGGUAAUGGGUAAAGAAGCACCGGCUAACUACGUG
rnacentral:rRNA from 1 species